GAGAUAUGAUGAGUUCUACAUUGGUCCGUGUUUCUGAAUCACCGUGACCGACAACUUCUUCCAAUUUCUGAUCUC
rfam:Cajanus cajan Scaffold000051_18, whole genome shotgun sequence.